AGAAUGAUGAAUAGCUUCUUCUGAAGAACGACUCACCUGCUUAACAAGGUUGCUGGCUUUGCUGUUGGUGUCGGCGUGGUAUCCUCGGUUGUAAAUGCCUCUAUGUACACCGUCCGCAUGGGUGAACGAGCAGUCAUCUUCCAUCCAUUUGGAGGUCGUACAGACAACACCAUCGUAGCUAGUCUUAAUCGAUUUUGAUUCUGUUUUUUAGGAGUUGUGGGAGACAUUUCAAUUUUCUAAGGAUUAGUCUUAAUCGACAUAAGAACAUGACGUAGCUAGUCCAUAAAAUCAAGAAAUGCAAACAAAAACAUAAAGGGUUCGGUAACAUGAUUAAGUUAUAGGUUACGGUGACAAUGAGAAUUUUGUAUCGACCUGAUGUCUUUGUUGUGGUAGAGAUGACGAGAAGAUUUUAGUAUUCGAUUACGGUGGCUGAAAGGACUCUGUUUUUAUGGAACAAUAGUCACAUCGAGAACCUAAUCAAACAGAACCUCAAAGUCAUUUUGCCGAUUAUAUUUCCUGCGCUGGAGAGAAAUUCAAGAAACCAUUGGAACCAGGCCGUACAAAACUUGACACAAAACGUCCGAAAGAUCUUCUUGGAUGCUGACCCUGAGCUGUUUGAGGAAUGUUUGCUCAAAUUUCAAGAAGAAGAGACACACGAGAAGGAUACGAAAUCUAAGCGCGAGGCUAAGUGGAAACGCUUAGAGGAGAUAGCUGCUGUGAAAUCUGCAAGUAAUGAAGCAGUUCUCGUCUCUCCCAAAGUAGCCUUACGAGCACCAUCUGGCUAGCUAGCUAACCACAGAACUUCAAAUGGGGGUGUUCAGCAGAUUUGGUUUUCCAAUUGGUAUGUGGGCAUAAAAGUUUAUCUAAUCACUCACCUCUCACCAUGUGAUGAAAGAAGCAGCCGCAGUUAAAUUGGUCGUCCCAUUAUGAACAAAUUGGAUUGAGGUGCAGUGAGAGAAAUUGAUAUUGGUGCUCAUAGCUGAGAUUUCUAUUUUGCAUACAUUUUCUGUGUAUAUGUGAUUGGGAGGGGGGGUUGGAUUCGGGUUGGAAAAUUUCUGUUUUAUUGUUGAAUGGGUGAAAAGCAAGAACGAAAUUCAAUUUUUUUCAUAAUUGUGCUCAUCAGUAUCUGGACGAUGGUCCCUUGUAGUUUACUGCUUCUGUAAUUCAAGUUAUUGGUUUCUUUUCUUCUGUCC